rnacentral:rRNA from 1 species
CCUACGGGUGACAGCAGUGAGGAAUAUUGGUCAAUGGACGAGAGUCUGAACCAGCCAAGUAGCGUGAAGGAUGACUGCCCUAUGGGUUGUAAACUUCUUUUAUAUGGGAAUAAAAUGUUCCACGUGUGGGAUUUUGUAUGUACCAUAUGAAUAAGGAUCGGCUAACUCCGUGCCAGCAGCCGCGGUAAUACGGAGGAUCCGAGCGUUAUCCGGAUUUAUUGGGUUUAAAGGGAGCGUAGGUGGAUUGUUAAGUCAGUUGUGAAAGUUUGCGGCUCAACCGUAAAAUUGCAGUUGAAACUGGCAGUCUUGAGUACAGUAGAGGUGGGCGGAAUUCGUGGUGUAGCGGUGAAAUGCUUAGAUAUCACGAAGAACUCCGAUUGCGAAGGCAGUUCACUGGACUGCAACUGACACUGAGGCUCGAAGGUGUGGGUAUCAAACAGGAUUAGAUACCCGAGUAGUC